ensembl:snoRNA
AUUGGCUGAAAGUCACCCCCAGCUUCGCGUGGGAUUCGGCACCCACAGUGUCCAGGGCGCUAAGCUGACUGCCCACUGCUAGUGCGGGACCAUGAAAGCCAGGCUCUGACAGAA